CCUACGGGAGGCAGCAGUGAGGAAUAUUGGUCAAUGGCCGAGAGGCUGAACCAGCCAAGUCGCGUGAGGGAAGAAUGUCCUAUGGAUUGUAAACCUCUUUUGUCAGGGAGCAAAGUCACCCACGUGUGGGUGUUGGAGAGUACCUGAAGAAAAAGCAUCGGCGAACUACGGGCCAGCAGCCGCGGUAAUACGGAGGAUGCGAGCGUUAUCCGGAUUUAUUGGGUUUAAAGGGUGCGUAGGCGGGUUAUCAAGUCAGCGGUAAAAUCGUGGAGCUCAACUCCAACCAGCUGUUGAAAAUAACGAUCUUGAGUGGGCGAGAGGGAUGCGGAAUGCGUGGUGUAGCGGUGAAAUGCAUAGAUAUCACGAAGAACUCCGAUUGCGAAGGCAGCAUACUGGCGCCAGACUGACGCUGAAGCACGAAAGCGUGGGUAUCGAACAGGAUUAGAUACCCGAGUAGUC
rnacentral:rRNA from 1 species